rnacentral:lncRNA from 1 species
CUACAAACGCUUACUCGGUUCAUUAAAAAUAUUGACCGAUGUAUUAUUAGUUUGUAAGUGGUAAAUAAUCUUCUCAAUAUUACAUAUGAGCUAAACAAUUUACAUAUAUUUUUCUCAAAAUAAAGAAAAAUCAUAUCACGUUUGUUUUCAAGAAAUCAUGUAUCCCUCUCUUCAAAAAUAAAACAAUUAACCUCUAUAAUUCUUUUUUAUAUCAUU